rnacentral:rRNA from 1 species
GACAGAGGGUGCAAACGUUGUUCGGAAUUACUGGGCGUAAAGCGUGUGUAGGCGGCUACAUAAGUCGGAUGUGAAAGCCCCGGGCUCAACCCGGGAAGUGCACUCGAUACUGCGUAGCUUGAGUCUCGGAGAGGUUGGUGGAAUUCUCGGUGUAGAGGUGAAAUUCGUAGAUAUCGAGAGGAACACCGGUGGCGAAGGCGGCGUUCUGGACUGUCUCUGACACUGAAGAACGAAAGCCAGGGGAGCAAAACGGGG